rnacentral:lncRNA from 1 species
UUUAUAUAAAUAUAAACUCAAUUGAAGUUAAAUGUAAAUUUACAAAUGUUUGGGUCAAAUUGCAAAUUAUGUAAACUUCUUGAAGCCCUAGUCUUUUCUUGAUUUCCUCCCAACAACGGCACGCCAGCUUCUUCUCUGAGUUCGUCGGAACAUACACGUCAAAAUUUUCCGGCAACCGAGUCGAACCCGCUUCGAUUGCUGCCCCAUCACUGUGUUCCGGCGAACUGUUAUUUAACUUCCCCCACCAAUUUCGUCCAUGGUAGAUGGCGGAGAUGGUGCCCACCGAUUUCGUCCAUGGUAGAUGGCGGAGAUGGUACCCGUAGCACCGUAGUAGGCUGCCGAUUUGGGGAGAUUUUUGCUAGAAUUUGGGAUUGGUUCUGAUGUGGAUGUCAAGAGGACAUCUCCGAAGGAUUUUGAAAGAUUGGAAAUCGGAGAAUGGAUUUGCAGUCGCCGGAGCCGCCGACGCCGGAGGUAAUCGAUCAGAUCCAGUUCACGGAUGGAAGAUGUAUUACGUAAUCAAUUCUUGGUCGGCAAAGAGAGGCGGCAGAAAUGGU